UACAGAGACCUCAAGCGUUAUCCGGAAUCAUUGGGCGUAAAGCGUACCGAUAGGUGGUUUGGUUAGUCUUGGGGUGAAAUCCCGAAGCUCAACUUCGGGUUUGGCUUAAGAUACUGCCAGACUAGAGGGGUAAAAGAGGAGAUUGGAACGAACGGUGUAGUAGUGAAAUGCGUUGAUAUCGUUCGGAACACCGAAAGCGAAGGCAGAUCUCUGGGUACCU
rnacentral:rRNA from 1 species